rnacentral:lncRNA from 1 species
UGACAUGAGAACCUGCAUUUAAAACCACAGAUUGGGCUCUGCUUGCUGGACCCCAGGUGACGAUAUAUCCACGUAUUCUGUUAUAAAUUUGGGUUUGUAUGUUCAUAAUGUGUGGCACUCUCUAAAGUGUGAGGCCCAAAGGAGGAUAUUCUUACACAGGCCUGAAGUGGUUGGACUGAGUCCCAUGAAGCCAGAUCACUUCUGACUGCAAGGAGCUUGGAAAAGCAAGUAUCUGGAUCUUUUACCAGCUAAAUUUGGAGAAUUAUUGAUCAAAUUUGGAUCUCUGUGUGCUGUCCUCCAAUUUAAUACUUUCUGUGUUGCUGUUUUAUUUUCUUUCUUCUGGAACCUGGCAAAGUGCGUCAAGCGAUGAGGCUUCCUCUUUGAAGAUCACAGGUGAGAAGAUUAGGUGCUUUCUCAGAAGCCCAGCAACCUGAUGGGAGUGUGGAGUGAGCAAGACCCAAAUCGGAGCUUCAUCCCUGCAUGGUUCAUUUUGCUUAUUUGGCAAACUUGCCCUGCAGGUGAAAACAUUGGAAUCUUGUGAACCUCAACCUGUGUUUUACAUAUGUAUACAUGAAGCAUCCAAUGGCAUUACACCUCAGCCAGAGAAGAAGCUCUUAAGAGAUCAGGUGCCUCAUUUCACCCAUGGGCUGCUCCAGCAUUUCCAGCCUCCUCACUCCUGACACAUACAGAUUGAGAAAUUAAGGUCGCAUCAUAUAAGUGAAGUUGAACACUACUUUUCUAAUACCCUACAUCAGGUACGUUCCUAAAUAAACUGGAACUUACCUCAGAAGCCUCAGAAAAUUAGGAAAAUAAAA